GCUGCCCGGACGCCAGGUCGACAGAAGUGCAUCGGCAGGAGUGGAGGACCCAGGUACGACGGGCCGCCGGAGAGAUCCGGACGGCCCUUGGGGUGAAGCCGCGCGAGCGGCCGGGCAUCUUCGCCUGCCCGAACCCGACAGGUCAUCCUUCACAGGCGGCUGACGAAGGGUUU
rnacentral:sRNA from 1 species